UUCGCGUGCUGCUUGUUCAGUUCCACGGUUCCACUUCCUCGUUACAACCUUGGAACUUGUUACUUGCUUGGUUGUGCUUUGCUCGGUCCUUCGUCCUUCCAGGUAGUACUGUGUAGUGUAGCGAUACGUGAACCAACAGUGAUGCCGUGCAGUAUUCGAGGCUGUGUAAAUUACAGAGCCAAAACAAGCGCUCCGGGCUUGCACUUCCACAAUGUUCCACGGAGAGAGCCAGCGAGAAGCAAGUGGCUCGAAAUAAUGAACUGGAAACGCGGCACUCCCAGUUCCAAUGUACGAGUAUGCAGUCUCCAUUUCAAGCCGAGCGACUACGAACAUAACCCCGUUGCGACAAAAUCGGUUGGCAUGCUGUUCUUGAAUCAUCUGAAAGCGGGUGCUCUGCCCUCGCUGAAUCUGCCGAGCACAAGCCAGCCAAGCAAACGGCAAAGAACUGACACCUCACCUGAUAUGUCGAACGGCACUGUAACCACGGGGACAGAAACAGAAACAGAGACACAAACGGAACUUCUUACAAAGGCACGAAUGUUAACAGGAAGACGCAAGCACACCCAAACUCAUAUCGUGUGCAGACGUAGGAAUCCAAGUGUGCCCUCUGAAGGAAAGCAUUGGCGUGCAGACGAGCAAACCAAAAAUGUUGGCAGCUGCCUACCAAUCUGAUCGUCGUGUGUACAAGUGGUUCCACUGCACGUGCGGAGCUCACAGAUGACCAAUAGUGCAAGUAGUCGUGCUGCAGGGAGUCAUCUCCAAGCCGCUGCUCAACACCAGUGCUGAAGAGAGCGCUUGAACAUCACAGAUCGACGCGUCGCUACAUCUGAAGGUCCUACGAUCGAAGACUUGCCUGGAAACACUACCUGUGUGCCAGCUGUUGAAAGCAUGAUGAGGAAAAAAAGAGGAAGAAUCUUGUAGAGUGAGCUUCGGAAGCUCUUCGAAACCUGGAGGACCUGCCUGCAGCGAUGGGUUCAGGGUUCCCACAAGGAUGACCAACAUCUUGUGCAGGAAUGUCACCCAUACAUUGCUGGUAUGGAUGAAAUGCGAGGCAGACUUCCUAGCGGAAAUCUAGGUACAACAAGACUCUCCUGCCUGCAACGGAUGGUCGCUGUGACUCACCUGGUUGGGGCUCGAAGUAGCUACCACGAGAGUUUGACGGAGAUCCUAUUCACAUUCAGGUGAAUCAGGGGGUAUCAGCCAGCCACAUAGAACCGCCGCAAGGGUCACUUGGAAGCUUUCAAUGUUGUUUCGAAGUCUCGUACAACAAACUGCUGCCCUGGUGGUAGCAAGUGCGUGUGUACAUCAUGCCUGGAUGCGAAAUAUUGGUUUGGCAUGAGCA